UAGAGUGUAGUAUAAUGAAGUACGUAAAGUUUUGGACUUUAUAGUGUGGGUUCGUGACCCAUUUCUUUAG
rnacentral:tRNA from 1 species